rnacentral:rRNA from 1 species
AGAGUUUGAUCAUGGCUCAGGAUGAACGCUAGCUACAGGCUUAACACAUGCAAGUCGAGGGGAAACGACAUCGAAAGCUUGCUUUUGAUGGGCGUCGACCGGCGCACGGGUGAGUAACGCGUAUCCAACCUGCCCACCACUUGGGGAUAACCUUGCGAAAGUAAGACUAAUACCCAAUGACGUCUCUAGAAGACAUCUGAAAGAGAUUAAAGAUUUAUCGGUGAUGGAUGGGGAUGCGUCUGAUUAGCUUGUUGGCGGGGUAACGGCCACCGAAGGCGACGAUCAGGUAGGGGUUCUGAGAGGAACGGUCCCCCANACGUUGGAACUGAGACACGGUCCAAACUCCGACGGGAGGCA